rnacentral:rRNA from 1 species
GUGCCAGCAGCCGCGGUAAUACGGAGGAUCCGAGCGUUAUCCGGAUUUAUUGGGUUUAAAGGGUGCGUAGGCGGGCUGUUAAGUCAGCGGUGAAAGUUUGACGCUCAACGUUAAAAUUGCCGUUGAUACUGGUGGCCUUGAGUGCGGUUGAGGUAGGCGGAAUGUGGUGUGUAGCGGUGAAAUGCUUAGAUAUGCCACAGAACACCGAUUGCGAAGGCAGCUUACUAAAGCGCAACUGACGCUGAUGCACGAAAGCGUGGGGAUCAAACAGGAUUAGAAACCCUGGUAGUCC